UAACACGUAGGAUGCAAGCGUUAUUCGGAUUUACUGGGCGUAAAGCGCGUGUAGGCGGUUAGGAGAGUUGGAUGUGAAAGCUCCCGGCUUAACUGGGAGAGGUCGUUCAAAACUUCCUGACUAGAGUUUGGUAGAGGAAAAUGGAAUUCCGGGUGUAGUGGUGAAAUGCGUAGAUAUCCGGAGGAACACCAGUGGCGAAAGCGAUUUUCUGGACCGAUACUGACGCUCAGACGCGAAAGCUAGGGUAGCAAACGGGAUUAGAGACCCCGGUAGUCCUAGCUGUAAACGAUGUAGACUUGGCGUUGGGAGAGUAAAAUCAUCCAGUGCCGAAGCAAACGCGAUAAGUCUACCGCCUGGGGAGUACGGCCGCAAGGUUAAAACUCAAAUGAAUUGACGG
rnacentral:rRNA from 1 species